CUCUGACUGAAGUGCAUCCUGACUUCCUCCUGACCCCUGCGAGAUGUUAUCGGUGUUUGCCUUCCUCCCCUUUCACAGGGCCUCGGCUGUUGCGUGCAGAGAAGCUGUCAGCCUUGUGAGAGAGCAUGCAGCCGGCAAGCGCGUCGUGGUGCUUCGGUACCGAGCUGAUACCACAGGCGUCCGUCUUUUGUUUGCAAAAAGGGAUCGCGAGGAAAGGUGCUGACGUUGGAGGGGGAAAGGUGGCGGGAGAACAGAGGUGAUUUCCAGGCGGAGCUGACCAGUGGGGUUCUCUGGCUGAGGGGAAGACCAGCAGUCAGCUGGUGGAUGUGCUUCUGGAAGAAAUAGCAACGGGAGCUCUAAGAGAGGGAAAUGGCUUCCCUGCAUGGGAGGAGGAGGGGAGCGCUGAAGCUUUCGUGGCCAAGCCCCGGAGCCAGGAUGUCAGGGAGAAGCAGGAGUAUCUGAGCCAGCUGAAGAACAAGCUGGGAGAUCUACUUGUAAGUAUGGAGGGAAGGGGCUGAUGGGGACAGUAG